GUUUAAUAUUCAGGAAAUGAGACUUUAUAAACAUUAUAGAAAAUCACAAACUGCCUUAUUUGGCUUAACAAAAAUACUUAAGCCAAUCCUAAGGCUUUGCUUUGUGAAUAAAAGAGUAAUCCAUAACUUACUCUGGAAAGCUUAGAGGACUGUAGCGAACAUAGACAUUUGUCAAAUGGUGAAAAAUUCAGAUUUCCUUAAAUGCUACUGCUUAUUGAUAUUUGAAACUUAAAAAAAAAUCUUAUAGCCGUUUAUUUCAAAAUGCCUUUGCCGUAUCCUGUUUCCAAAUUAGUUUUGCUACUUACAUCCCACUGCUUAUCUGAUAGAUAUGUUUACUUGGAUACUCAGCCUCCCUCUGAGUCACACUUAUGAAUGAUUACACACCUUCAACUAAAUAUUGAACAUUUUGAUCAUAAAACUAAAAUUUUCAUUUGUAUUGACAUUGCUUCCCCCAGAGUCAACUCUUUGCAUUAUUAAAUAUAUUAUUCCAAAAAUGAUUUCUUCACAAUCCCGCAUAAUAUUAAGUCACAUAAGCAAUUCCUACACAAAACCUUUGGUUAAACUAUGGAACUGAAUGAACCGGUUGGGGAAAUGAUUCCCAUGAUCGAUUUUCUCCCCUACCAAAAGUAAAGAUUAUUAUGCUGAAAUCAUUGAAGAUUUAUCCUAGAAAAUUGAAAAAAUAUAAUUCGGAACUUUAGCAGAUUGAUUAUUCAGUUAAUUCUUGGGAGUGCAAGAGGAUUUUUAAAAAUGCUCUCAUUCAUUUAAGCCGGUGAGAUACUAAUUGGGUUAUUCAGCAUUGUUUUCCUAAAUAGGGUCCAGCAGAUCUCAAAGAGAUCAUUGACUCUCUGAAAUCUUAGAGUUUUGGUCUACAAGUAUAUCCUACUGGAGAGAAAACAAGCAAAGAAGGCUUGACUUCCAUCACAUAGUUGAUUGCUUUGGACAAUACCAACCCUAACCUUUAAUUAGUUGCCUACCUAUUCAAUAAUCUCCCCCUUUCUUGUGGGUUCAGGUCUAUAGUCUAAGCCUAAUUCACUUACAGGGCGUAGUCCACAUAGCACGGAGCACCAGUGUCCUUCACUGGUGUUGAUGAGAUUACUCAGAGAUAAUAUUUAGAGAAGUGGAUCUUGAGUUUGCCCUCUUAUAUCAUGGCCUUGUUAUUGUUUAUAACAUCUCUGUAUCAUCAUAUUCCAUAAAUUAAGACUCAGGGGAAAGAGGAGCUUACACUGAGGAAAAUUGUUUCCAAAAGCCCAUCAUUCCCCAACAUAUAGUAUGUGCAUGGUACAUUCCAAGCUCUAGAGACUAAUAAGCCAAGGAUUUUAUCCUUGAUGAGCUCAUGAUCGCUUCUGUGUUAUCUUGCAGUAGGUAACUAAUAAAUACGUUAUGAAAUAAACAUUUCCAGUUGACACUGGAUCAAGUUAUUCUCCAGCAUUUUAAGGGACUGCUCAUCUUCCCGUAUUGUUGUGCAUUCUGCUCAAAAUAAAUUCAAAAUGGGCUGUUCCUACACAAACCAGCCGAAUUUGUAGAUGUGAUUAGUGUGUCUGCUAGUGGUAAAGACACUCGCAGCUUUCUUUGUUAAGGUGAGGAAAGUAAAGGAACUGGUUUCAUUUGUAAUUUAUGUUUCCAUUGUCCUGGUAACAUCAGCAAUGAGGUAUCUGUCACCACAUCUUAUCCCAGGUCACAGAAUCAAGGGUUGGGUCUUUUUCGUUACACCAAGUGACUGUUACAUGAAUAAGAACUUUUAAAUGAUUUCUUUAAAGAAAACCUUCUUGUCAUGAAUUAUUUAAAAUUGUAGUUUUGUGGUAAUGAUAUUUGGAAACACUUCUGGUGACUGGUCAGACUUUGGAAACCGUUUCUUUAUAGUCAACCAUUUAUUGCAGUGAAAGUCGCACAGAUGGGAUUUGACUUGAAACUCCUGCUUUUUCAUUCCAAUGCUUUUUUUUUUUUAAAGAGGCAGAAACCAUUACAAUUUACAAUUACUAGUUGAAAUUGGCAGUUUUAGCUAUAACUUUUAAUUUACUGAUUUUUUUAAAUUUAUUGAUAUACUUGAACUUAGUUAAAAAAACAAAACAACAACAACAAAAAAACAACCCAAUCUGUGAGACUUUUUGCAAGACUGGUGCCUGAAAAGACUCACUUGUCUUUUAAAAAAACAUUGUGUACAUCUUUAAAAUGUGACAUACAUAUAUACAUAUUUCAGAGUUUUUUCUCAUAUUGUCUAAAUGACUAGCAUAGAGCUUUCUGCUUUCAGAAACACUGUAUGUAAUGUAAAUAAUGUCAUUAUGAUAAAGAUAAUGGGUAUCUAAUGAUCCUCCUAUGAUUUCUUUGCAAUUUAAAUUGCAACACUGGCCAGGAUCUCUGUAAGUAUAACUUGACUAGCUGACUAGUAACCGAUGUUAAUUCAGGGAAUUGAUAACACAAUUUGUAUCUAGAGCAUGAGCUUCGAGUCAAAAUCAACAGAAAGCCACAUUUUGGCGGCAAAUGCUGGCCAGUUUAAGCUCACAACAUUUAUUUAUUCGUAUUAGAUGAAUUCAGUCAUGUUCAUUCUUGGCAGUCAUCUAAGUUUGAAAUGGGUGAGGGAGAACAUUUGCAUUCGGCUUAUUUUGUGUUUUCCCCUCUGAAUGCAAACUCUUGCCAGGUGUUAGAAGCUAGCCACAUCAGUUGAGAGAAUUAUCAUCCUGAAAAAAAGAAAAAAAAACCUGUCAUACCUAUGGCCCUCCCAGUUGCCCGGAUAUUUGCUGGAAUUCCAAUUAACAUUUUAUGCUAUGACCUAGUACACCCAUUGCAUGAGGGACUACUGAGUGACCCCAAAGCUGACAAACUGGGAAAGCCCUCAGAAGACAGGCCUCACAUAACUGCUCAGAAGGUUUUGCCAAAAUGUUGACAUAUGUUCCUCCCAAAAGAAGUCUCCCCACACCCAUCCUCUACCCUCCGCCCCACAGAAAGUAUUUGGGAGAGAACAGCUUGAAAGAUUUUCUAUGAUUUUUAACAUCUCAAACCCAAGCAUUUCUCUGGCUCAAACAACAGAAACGUUCACGUUUAACACUUCGAGCAUUGCAGGUGUAGUAGCCUAGAGAGCACUGGCUCAGAUAAAUAUAUCCAAACAGCAUAGUCUCCUAUUUCACCGAUACCUGCUGUAUUUUAGAUAUUGUGGCAUUUACAGCUUUGUUGAUUUGUGCUGUUACAGCGUGUCAUAAACGUCACUAAUGAUAUUUUGAUUUGUGAUUCUUUUUAUUUAAGGUUUUUGUGAAUGUUAAAGUGUUCGCUCUAUAGCUGUCAUGUCUUAUGAAAUUAGACACUGGUUUUCUUUCCUUUGGGUGUCCUAAACCAAACAAUUGCUUAAUAAAUAUCUUUUU
rnacentral:lncRNA from 1 species